rnacentral:rRNA from 1 species
AUUGAACGCUGGCGGCAGGCCUAACACAUGCAAGUCGAGCGGAUGAAGGGAGCUUGCUCCUGGAUUCAGCGGCGGACGGGUGAGUAAUGCCUAGGAAUCUGCCUGGUAGUGGGGGAUAACGUCCGGAAACGGGCGCUAAUACCGCAUACGUCCUGAGGGAGAAAGUGGGGGAUCUUCGGACCUCACGCUAUCAGAUGAGCCUAGGUCGGAUUAGCUAGUUGGUGGGGUAAAGGCCUACCAAGGCGACGAUCCGUAACUGGUCUGAGAGGAUGAUCAGUCACACGGGAACUGAGACACGGUCAAGACUCCGACGGGAGGAGGCAGGGGGAAAUUUUGGACAAGGGGCGAAAGCCUAACCCAGCCAUGCGGCGGGUGGAAAGAAGGUCUUGGGAUUGAAAAGCACUUAAAGUUGGGAGGAAGGGAAGAAAGUUAAUACUUUGCUUUUUUGACUUUACAAACAAAAAAAGCCCCGGCUAACUUCGUG